ACGGUGAGUAACACGUAUCCAACCUGCCGUCUACUCUUGGACAGCCUUCUGAAAGGAAGAUUAAUACAAGAUGGCAUCAUGAGUUCACAUGUUCACAUGAUUAAAGGUAUUCCGGUAGACGAUGGGGAUGCGUUCCAUUAGAUAGUGGGCGGGGUAACGGCCCACCUAGUCUUCGAUGGAUAGGGGUUCUGAGAGGAAGGUCCCCCACAUUGGAACUGAGACACGGUCCAA
rnacentral:rRNA from 1 species